AAUUGCCCCGGAAACUAUGCUGGGAACUUCUGCUAUGGUGAAGAUAACAUCCAUUGGAAGGUGGUCUGUUUUUGGGGAAGUGAUUGAAACCAUCAGUACCAAACAUCAUAAAACAACUACUCUGGAAGACAUGCCGAUUCGAGACAAAGUUCCUCCCUGCUCUAACGCUCACGAAACAUGUGCAUGUUCCAUGGAACCCGAACCUUGUGCUUGUGGACCA
rnacentral:misc_RNA from 1 species